rnacentral:rRNA from 1 species
UACGUAAGGGGCCAGCGUUGUCCGGAAUCAUUGGGCGUAAAGAGCGCGUAGGCGGCCAGAUAAGUCCGGUGUGAAAGUCAAAGGCUCAACCUUUGAAUGCCGCUGGAAACUGUCUGGCUAGAGUCCGGGAGGGGCGAGUGGAAUUCCCGGUGUAGCGGUGAAAUGCGCAGAUAUCGGGAGGAACACCAAUGGCGAAGGCAGCUCGCUGGGACGUGACUGACGCUGAGACGCGAAAGCGUGGGGAGCGAACAGG